UGGCGGACGGGUGAGUAAUGUCUGGGAAACUGCCUGAUGGAGGGGGAUAACUACUGGAAACGGUAGCUAAUACCGCAUAACGUCGCAAGACCAAAGAGGGGGACCCUCGGGCCUCUUGCCAUCGGAUGUGCCCAGAUGGGAUUAGCUUGUUGGUGGGGUAACGGCUCACCUAGGCGACGAUCCCUAGCUGGUCUGAGAGGAUGACCAGCCACACUGGAACUGAGACACGGUCCAGACUCCUACGGGAGGCAGCCAUG
rnacentral:rRNA from 1 species